AUGAAUCAAGAUUCUUCUAGAGUGGAGCAAAUUCUGUUAGCAAUUCCUGCAUUAUCAGCUAUUAGAACAGUUGAUGAGCCCUAUAUGGGUCACGAGUUCGUAUCAGGAGCUGAAGUACAUGUGUUUUAUAAUGCAUAUGCUGCACGUGUUAGAUUCGUCAUACGUGUAAGUAAGCUGUCACAGAUCACUAGAUUUUAA